rnacentral:rRNA from 1 species
UUCCGGUUGAUCCUGCCAGAGGCGACCGCUUUUGGAGUUCGAUUAAGCCAUGCGAGUAGAAUGAAUUAGAUCAUUGCAAACUGCUCAGUAACACGUGGAUAACCUGCCCUAUGCUCUGGGAUAACCUCGGGAAACUGAGAAGAAUACCGGAUAGACCACAACGCCUGGAACGGUGUGUGGUUGAAAGGUCACGGCAUAGGAUGGGUCUGCGGCGUAUCAGGUCGUGGGGGGUGUAACGGACCUCCUAGCCAUCGACGCGUACGGGUUGUGGGAGCAAUAGCCCGGAGAUGGAUUCUGAGACACGAACCCAGACCCUACGGGGUGCAGCAGGCGCGAAAACUUCACACUGCAGGAAACUGUGAUGAGGGAACUCCAAGUGACUGCACAUUGUGUAGCCUUUUCUUUACUAUUAAUCGGUAUUGGAAUAAGGGCUGGGAAAGACCGGUGCCAGCCGCCGCGGUAAUACCGGCAGCUCAAGUGGUCGUCGCUUUUAUUGGGCCUAAAACGUCCGUAGCCUGUUUGGUAAAUCUGUGGGUAAAUCAACCAGCUUAACUGGUUGAAUUCUGCAGAGACUGCCAGACUAGGGACCGGGAGAGGUGUGGGGUACUCUAGGGGUAGGGGUAAAAUCCUGUCAUCCUUAGAGGACCACCAGUUGCGAAGGCGCCACACUGGAACGGAUCCGACGGUCAGGGACGAAGCCUAGGGGCACGAACCGGAUUAGAUACCCGGGUAGUCCUAGGUGUAAACGCUGUGAACUUGGUGUCGGGAGUCCGCAAUGGGCCCCCGGUGCCGGAGUGAAGAUGUUAAGUUCACUGCCUGGGGAGUACGGUCGCAAGGCUGAAACUUAAAGGAAUUGGCGGGGGAGCACUGCAACGGGAGGAGCGUGCGGUUUAAUUGGAUUCAACGCCGGA